rnacentral:lncRNA from 1 species
UAAAGGCAAACAGUCUAAAAUCAAGCGGAGUCCAAGUCCAAAUAGAACAUACAUCCAAAAAUCCAAUGCCAAAACACCAAAAUCCACACCCAAAGUCCCAAGUAAAAGACAAAAGAGUUCAAACAAAGCCAAAACACCAAAAGUCCAAAAGCCUAUUAGAGUCUAGGUACCCCGUCGCCUCCGUGGGGCAACGUCCUCCGAGUCAUCCCCAGUUGCUGAACUCCCUCCAGCCUCGCCUGUCCGAGGAGCCAACAUGAUCUCCUCAUCAGUCCUAAUCCCAUCACCAGCGUCAGCCUGAGUCCAACCCUCGAGUGCACUCAGCAAUGCGUUCCUCCUUGGCUUUUCCACUGGCCAGACAACGGUCAUGAACCAGGUNN